rnacentral:rRNA from 1 species
CAGUCGCCGCGGUAAUACGAAGGGUGCAAGCGUUAAUCGGAAUUACUGGGCGUAAAGCGUGCGUAGGCGGUGAGUUAAGUCUGCUGUGAAAUCCCCGGGCUCAACCUGGGAAUGGCAGUGGAUACUGGCUCGCUAGAGUGUGUCAGAGGAUGGUGGAAUUCCCGGUGUAGCAGUGAAAUGCGUAGAGAUCGGAAGGAACAUCUGUGGCGAAGGCGACUAUCUGGGCCAACACUGACACUGAGGCACGAAAGCGUGGGGAGCAAACAGGAUUAGAUACCCCGGUAGUCCCUGUCUCUUAUAC